rnacentral:rRNA from 1 species
AUGGCGGAUUCUACUCAACAGGAGAUCGGGGGGAAGGGAGAUGAGAUGGCGGCGAAGUUAGGGUUAGGGGAGACGGGGAUGAACAGAUCGGAAGUACCGGAGGGAUGGGGUGGGAGGGGGAGUAGUAUCAACACCAAGGAGGAUGAAGGGAAGAACCAAAGGCAGCAGCCGAGGGAGCACAACCCUGAAGGAGCGGAGGAGGAAUACGGCGACUAUCCCGGAGCUUGCGCUGACUUAGAGGAUCAAUUCGCUGGCAUGAGGCUGUAUGGGAAAGAGGAGGAGGAUCUUGAUUUCUCAGCGGAGGUGGAGGAUCUGGUAAAGGAUGUGCGCUGGCUCGCUCUGUUUCGGGUGCAUACGACGAAGCCGUUUAGCCAUGCGGCACUUCUAACACAGAUGCAUAAUGCGUGGUCUGCGGCGCAGGGGGUCACUUUCAAUGUCAAGGGGCCUAAUCUUUUUCUUGUUCAGUGCCACUAUUUAGGAGAUUGGAGGAAGAUUAUGGAUGGAGGUCCAUGGUUGUUUCGGAGGGCACCAGUUGUGAUUCAGGAGUACGAUGGUUUCUCUGACGUUAAUGCAUAUCGGCUCAACAAGGUUCCGGUGUGGGCUCGAAUCAAGGGGCUGCCGGACGGCCUCACAAGGAAGAGGGAGCUGGCUGAGAAAGUUGCUGCUAAGGUGGGCGAGCCCCCUUUCACGGUCAUUGUAAAUGAGGGAAGGAUAAACCCGGCGAGCACCUUGCGAGCUAGGGUGUUUGUGGAUGUAAAUGAGCCUCUGGUUCGGUUUGUUCCUAUAACUCUGAAGGAACACAAGAAGUAUUGUGUUUUCUAUGAAAAACUCCCGGACUUUUGCUUUGCCUGCGGGUGUAUGGGUCAUCUUGCGGAUGAGUGGGGAGAUGGGGUUCAUGACCCAGUUUCUUUUGGUUGGGGCGAAUGGUUGCUGUGGGAGCCAGAGAUGCCGGCGGCUCAACCGUAUGGCGGCAGAGGGCGAGGAGGGAGUUUUGGUAUGGGGGGAGGAGGUGAUUCUGGCAGAGGAGAUAGGGGUAGAGGAGGAAGAGGACAGUCAGGGGGUAGAGGAAGGGGAGCACCUUCAGGUGGCACUAUGGGUUCUCAGCAUAUGGAUUUGGAUGACCCUAGAGUAGUUCAAGUGGAGGAGGGAGAGAAGGGUGCUCGUAAGAGGUUGGUUGCGGCGGACGACUCUAUAAAUAUACGAGGGCAACAACUUACCAAUUUGGUGGGGAAGGUUUCGGGGACAGUGUUGCUCAUUGAAGGUGCAACAGCGUCGGGCUCCAACAUCAACACAGUUUCCACUCCUGAGAAGGUGCAUGUUGGCAAGAAGAGGAGACAGGAAGGAGAGGAAGGGGAAGAUGUGGUGCUUAUGGAAGAGGCGGCCUCCCUCGAGGAGGGCCGCCAAGCCUGA